GGUGUACUAGACCAGUGGUAUCGAGGUGACCUAUUGUUGAUGGGUGGCCGACCGGGAGGUGGAGACCGACGGGGUGAUCGUGACGCCGGUGAGCCG
rnacentral:tRNA from 1 species